rnacentral:tRNA from 1 species
GGGGUUGUGGCUCAGCAGUAGGGCGCUCGCCUCGCACAUGAGAGGCCCUGGGUUCGAUCCUCAGCACCA